GUAGGUGGCAAGCGUUGUCCGGAAUUAUUGGGCGUAAAGCGCGCGCAGGCGGUUCUUUAAGUCUGAUGUGAAAGCCCACGGCUCAACCGUGGAGGGUCAUUGGAAACUGGAGAACUUGAGUACAGAAGAGGAAAGCGGAAUUCCACGUGUAGCGGUGAAAUGCGUAGAGAUGUGGAGGAACGCCAGUGGCGAAGGCGGCUUUCUGGUCUGUAACUGACGCUGAGGCGCGAAAGCGUGGGGAGCAAACAGGGAUUAGAUACCCUGGUAGUCCACGCCGUAAACGAUGAGUGCUAAGUGUUAGGGGGUUUCCGCCCCCUUAGUGCGGCAGCUAACGCAUUAAGCACUCCGCCUGGGGGGUACGCCGCAAGGCUG
rnacentral:rRNA from 1 species